rnacentral:pre_miRNA from 1 species
AGUGCUAUAGAUGGGUCUUGAGGUAAAGCUAUUCCCAGUUUUCUGAGAAAUUGCCAGAUUGAUUUCCAAAGUGGUUUUACAAGUUUACACUCCCACCAGCAAU